CCAAGGGCCUCUACCCGCCAUAGGGGUCAGCCAGAAGAGCCAAGGGCCUCUACCCGCCAGAGGGUCCAGUCAGAAGAGCCAAGGGCCUCUACAAGCCAUAGGGGUCAGCCAGAAGAGCCAAGGGCCUCUACAAGCCAUAGGGGUCAGCCAGAAGAUCCAAGGGCCUCUACCCGCCAGAGGGUCCAGUCAGAAGAGCCAAGGGCCUCUACAAGCCAUAGGGUCCACUCAGAAGAGCCAAGGGCCUCUACAAGCCAGAGGGUCCAGUCAGAAGAGCCAAGGGAAAAGCUGCAGGUGGUCAAAAAUAAAGAUUGAGCGUUCAAACGAUCAAAGAGGCCUGAUGUGAUUCCAAAACACAUAGUACACAGCCCAAAUAUGCAAACGUU
rnacentral:lncRNA from 13 species